rnacentral:rRNA from 1 species
AUGUGUAUGAAAAACAGGAAAAGCUUUUACAUAUUUUCUCGGUUCCAGGAAACAAUCAUGUGUGUUUAUGCGCAGAUGGCCCUGCAACCACUUAACCUGGUAAUUCAUAUUCACCAUGUGCCAUGUGCAAGUUGUUCAGCAUCCAAGAGAGUAACUUUAGCUUGCUUCUCUUUUCAGCAAGAGCUCAAGGAUCCGUAUCUACCUGCUGAAUUAGGUACUGCAAACAAACAGCCAACGAAUUAUUUUUGCAAAUCGUUAACUGCAAGUGACACAAGCUCGCAGCUGAGAAAGUGUUUCCUCUGGUGGAUUUCACUAUGCAACCUCCAGCACAGGAGUUGCCUGCAAAAGAUCUUCAUGGCAAUGAGUAGAAAUUCAUUAGAGCUGACGGUGGAGGGGAUGUUGCGUGCUAAGAGAUGA